AUCCAGCUGACGAGUCCCAAUUAGUACGAAACGCACGUCCUGGAU
rfam:Schistosoma mansoni, Puerto Rico, WGS project CABG01000000 data, contig: 0126